rnacentral:rRNA from 1 species
CCCUGUACAGGGGUUUACAUUCUGGAAGUGAACUUUUCGCUUAAGGAAAAUUCUUUGUUGGACAACCUCUUAAAAAAUUGGUGUAAGAUUAUAGGGGUUGGGCAAAUUCUUGUGUUCAACCGCCGCGGUUAUACCAAGCACCCGCCGAUUGGUCAGGGACAGAUUAUUGGGCCCUAAAGCAUCCGUACCGGUUUUACAAGUCCUCCCGUUCAAAUCCAAACUGCUUAACAGAUGGGCCGCGGAGGAUACUAUAAGACUAGGAGGCAGGAGAGGCAAGCGGUACUCAGUGGGUAGGGGUAAAAUCCGUUGAUCCACUUGAAGACCACACAGUGGCGAAGGCGGCUUGCCAGAAUGCGCUCGACGGUGAGGGAUGAAAGCUGGGGGAGCAAACCGGAUUAGAUACCCGGGUAGUCCCAGCUGUAAACGAUGCAGACUCGGUGAUGGACUAGCUUAAUGCUAGUCCAGUGCCGCAGGGAAGCCGUUAAGUCUGCCGCCUGGGUAGUACGUCGCAAGACUGAAACUUAAAGGAAUUGGCGGGGGAGCAC